rnacentral:rRNA from 1 species
UGCGUAGGGUGCAAGCGUUGUCCGGAAUUAUUGGGCGUAAAGAGCUCGUAGGCGGUCUGUCGCGUCGGCUGUGAAAACUCGGGGCUCAACUCCGAGCUUGCAGUCGAUACGGGCAGGCUAGAGUUCGGCAGGGGAGGACUGGAAUUCCUGGUGUAGCGGUGAAAUGCGCAGAUAUCAGGAGGAACACCGGUGGCGAAGGCGGGUCUCUGGGCCGAUACUGACGCUGAGGAGCGAAAGCGUGGGGAGCGAACAGG